rnacentral:rRNA from 1 species
AGAGUUUGAUCCUGGCUCAGAUUGAACGCUGGCGGAAUGCUUUACACAUGCAAGUCGAACGGCAGCACGGGAGCUUGCUCCUGGUGGCGAGUGGCGAACGGGUGAGUAACAUAUCGGAACGUAUCCAAUAAUGGGGGAUAACUAGUCGAAAGAUUAGCUAAUACCGCAUACGCCCUGAGGGGGAAAGCUGGGGAUCGUAAGACCUGGCGUUAAUGGAGCGGCCGAUAUCUGAUUAGCUAGUUGGUGGGGUAAAGGCCCACCAAGGCGACGAUCAGUAGCUGGUCUGAGAGGACGACCAGCCACACUGGAACUGAGACACGGUCCAGACUCCUACGGGAGGCAGCAGUGGGGAAUUUUGGACAAUGGGCGCAAGCCUGAUCCAGCCAUUCCGCGUGAGUGAAGAAGGCCUUCGGGUUGUAAAGCUCUUUCGCAAGGGAAGAAAACUUACUUUCUAAUAAAGAGUGAGGUUGACGGUACCUUGAUAAGAAGCACCGGCUAACUACGUGCCAGCAGCCGCGGUAAUACGUAGGGUGCGAGCGUUAAUCGGAAUUACUGGGCGUAACGCGUGCGCAGGCGGUCUUGAAAGUCAGAUGUGAAAUCCCCGGGCUCAACCUGGGAACUGCGUUUGAAACUCCAAGACUAGAGUAUGGCAGAGGGGGGUAGAAUUCCACGUGUAGCAGUGAAAUGCGUAGAGAUGUGGAGGAAUACCAAUGGCGAAGGCAGCCCCCUGGGUCAAUACUGACGCUCAUGCACGAAAGCGUGGGAGCAAACAGGAUUAGAUACCCUGGUAGUCCACGCCCUAAACGAUGUCUACUAGUUGUUGGGAGAGUAAAAUCUCUUAGUAACGCAGCUAACGCGUGAAGUAGACCGCCUGGGGGGUACGGUCGCAAGAUUAAAACUCAAAGGAAUUGACGGGGGCCCGCACAAGCGGUGGAUUAUGUGGAUUAAUUCGAUGCAACGCGAAAAACCUUACCUGGCCUUGACAUGUACCGAAUUUGGCAGAGAUGCCUUAGUGCUCGAAAGAGAGCGGUAACACAGGUGCUGCAUGGCUGUCGUCAGCUCGUGUCGUGAGAUGUUGGGUUAAGUCCCGCAACGAGCGCAACCCUUGCCAAUAAUUGCCAUCAUUUAGUUGGGCACUUUAUUGGGACUGCCGGUUACAAACCGGAGGAAAGUGGGGAUGACGUCAAGUCCUCAUGGCCCUUAUGGCCAGGGCUUCACACGUAAUACAAUGGUCGGUACAGAGGGUUGCCAACCCGCGAGGGGGAGCUAAUCUCAGAAAGCCGAUCGUAGUCCGGAUUGAAGUCUGCAACUCGACUUCAUGAAGU